rnacentral:rRNA from 1 species
GACGAACGCUGGCGGCGUGCCUAAUACAUGCAAGUCGAGCGGACUUGACAGAGCUUGCUCUGUUCAAGUUAGCGGCGGACGGGUGAGUAACACGUGGGCAACCUGCCCUGCAGAUUGGGAUAACUCCGGGAAACCGGGGCUAAUACCGAAUAACAUUGAAAACCUCAUGGUUUUCUUUUAAAAGGCGGCUUCGGCUGUCACUGCAGGAUGGGCCCGCGGCGCAUUAGCUAGUUGGUGAGGUAACGGCUCACCAAGGCGACGAUGCGUAGCCGACCUGGGAGGGUGAUCGGCCACACUGGGACUGAGACACGGCCCAGACUCCUACGGGAGGCAGCAGUAGGGAAUCUUCCGCAAUGGACGAAAGUCUGACGGAGCAACGCCGCGUGAGUGAAGAAGGUUUUCGGAUCGUAAAACUCUGUUGUCAGGGAAGAACAAGUAUCGGAGUAACUGCCGGUACCUUGACGGUACCUGACCAGAAAGCCACGGCUAACUACGUGCCAGCAGCCGCAGUAACAC